UCCCACAACGUCCAUUCUAUCUUUCUUUUACAGCCACAUGGCCACUCAGACAAGAGUCUGGCCAGUAAGGUGUAAGUGGAAUUGUUGUGUGGCAGUUUCUGAAACUCUUUAAGAAUCAGCUAUUGUACUCACUUUGCCCCUCUUAUGUUCCCUCCUCUUGUCCACUACUGCAGUGUAGAUGUCAUCUCAGAUUAUGAGAGAGAGAGCCACAACUAGUGAUGACAGAAUAAGGAGCUUGAAGGCGCUUAAGUCCCUGAGGCACAGUGGAACAAAGCCACUCUGCCACUCAGGACUCAUACCACCACAUUUUAUAUAGGAGAGAAGCAAGAGACACAGUGAUGCAGCUCCUCCACAUAAUAACCCU